GCUUAUGAUUUACGAGGUACAAUCGUCUAUGAUUUAUUUGAACACGUCAUUAAUAAACAUUUAUACCUAAUAAAAUUAAUAGCUUUUUAAUGACUAAUAAUAGUACAUGUUUUUAAUUAAUUAAAAGUGAGUCACUCUAACUUAUAUGAAUGUAUAUACCCUCAUUUACCGCUUUACUAUAGGUAUGCACACUCCCAUUUUACUUUCUGUAUAGG
rnacentral:lncRNA from 1 species